AAUAUUAGAUCAAUAGUUAAUAUUUUUUAUUUAUAAUUUUAAAAUAAAAAAGAUUAAUAAAGAUUUUUGGAGGUGAAAUUCCAGCAAAAUAAUUUCCAAAAAAAUCCACAAAAAAAAUUUCCCGCCAAUAUUUUUAUAGAAAAUUUAAUUUCUCGUGAAAAUGUGAGUAUUGGUGGCGGAAAUCCGCCACGAAAAAUCUACCAUACAAUGUCUCUUUUUUUGUAGUUAAUCAUCAACAAUUAGGAUUGUGAUAUAAUUCCAAUCAGCUAUGAGGAAGUAUCAGAGUGUAUCCAGUCGGAGGGGGACAGUGAAAUCGCGGAAUCCCUAACUGGGGAAAGAUUGGGGAUGAACGACGACAGUCCAGAACAGCUUAACCGUGGCGAACCCGGUCAACCUUCCACAAGCAUGAGAGAAAGAAGUCGGCCCACUUGGAAGAUUACUUAAUGGGCUAGGGGAGGAAUUGGCCCACUUGAAGAAUUUAUGUUUGUUUUUAAAAUUGCUAAAUAGACCUUAAGUUUAAAUUUAAUGUUGUAAUAGUCAGUAGUAGAAUGUUUUAAUGAUUGGAAAAUCAGUAUCGAAAAUUGAACCAAAUAUUCCUGUUCUUGCGCAAACUUCCUCUCAAACCCUACAUCCGGCGUUGUGUCGAGUACCUCUCCACCCCUCCCAUCAAAAUCCGUCCGGUCUGCCUCAACUUCCAGCCGCAUUGAGCCCUCUGCUGAUUGGUUUAACAACCGUGAUCACCCAGAGCUAAGACUCAAUAUCAGGGAUAUAUUCCCGCCGUGAACUACCUUGGACACCUAAAAUCUCUGAUCUUAGAUCUAGGGCAUCAUCGACCUCAGGUCAAUUCGUUUUUAAAUUUGUUUAGGGAUUUAGAACCCUAUCACUGGUGCUUUCAAUAUUUGAUCUCUCAUUUCAGGAUGUCUACAAUGGAUUUAACAACGAAUCCAGACUUUCAAAGAUUACAGACACUACAAAUGUCUCAAAUCAAAGAGAUAAGCGAAUUCAGGAACAAUGUAAAUAACAAUUUCUUGGAGUUAGGGAGGCAGAUUAGUGAAAUUUGUUCCACACUCAAAGAAAAGCCACCAGAUACAAGUAAAAUCAAUCUGGAGAAUCCUGAAAUUGAAGGAAAUGCAAAAGAAAAACCUAAAUCACAUCAUCUAUUCUACCAGUCAGUGGUAGACUUAGAUAACCUGGAUUAUGCAAGUAGCAUUAUGAAUAAUGACUCUUAUGAACCGGCCAAGCACAUAAAGGUCAAUAUGCCAAGGUUCGAUGGCACUGAUGCAGAAGGAUGGCUAUUUUCAGUACGAAGGUACUUUAUAUUCAAUAAAAUACCUGAAGAUCAGAAACUGGUUAUUGUAUCAUUUCAUUUAGAUGGGAUAGCAAAGAAAUGGUUUGCUUGGCUUGAAGCAAGCAACAUGCUAUCAUUUUGGAAAAACUUUGUGGAUGCAGUUAUCAGGAAAUUCACAACUUGACACUACUCCCUACCUGGUGGCAAGCUAAGUAAACUAUGCCAAGAAGUUACAGUGGCUGAGUACCAAGCUCUGUUUGAAGAACUAUGCACUAGGGUAUUGGGCCUACCAGAAUAUUUUAUUUUAGAGAUGUAUAUUUCUGGCCUUAAAGAAGAAAUUCAGCCAGAAGUGAUUUCAAAAAAGCCAUCUGAUAUUCAUGAAGCUUUUGAGCUAUCUCUCAUAUUUGAGGCAAGAAAACCAAGGUUUAAAGGCAGCAACAAGCCUUUCUAUACAAAACCAUUCAUACCAAAGACUACACCAUUCAGUUUCAAGCCUGGCCAAAUAGAAGUAACCCCAAAGGAAGCUAACAUACAAAAACCUGUGUUUAAAAGACUAUCUCCUGCUGAAAGAAAGGAGAGAACUGCAAAAGGGUUAUGUUUUAACUGUGAUGAUAAAUUCAUUCCGGGUCACAAGUGUAAAGGAAAUUUUUUCAGAAUGUCGACAGAUGAAUUUUAUUUUUAGGAGGUGGUUGAUGAAGAGGAAACUGAGGAGGAACCUGAAAAUAUAAGUUCUGAGGAUCGGGAAAUCAGCUAUCAUGCAUUUGAGGGUCAUAUUAAUGCCACUACUAUCAGACUAGAUGGGUUCAUAAAAAGUCAGUGUGUGAGUGUUCUAUUAACUACAGGCUCAACACACAACUUUAUGCAAACUGAGGUAGCAGCUGCACUAAAAUUAGUUCCUCAUGUCAUAGUACCAUUUAAAGUAUCUACGGGCAGUGGAAAAUUGAUCUGUGAGGCUGUUUGCAAAGAGGUAGAGAUUAAAAUUCAGAACACAAUUGUAAAAAUGGACAUUUUUCUACUUCAGAUGGAAGGAGCCAAUGUGGUGAUUGGGAUUCAAGGACUGAAAUCUUUAGGACCAGUUACUUUUAAUUUUGAUGAUUUGAAUGUCUUUCCUAAAAGAAGAGAGAUUAUUUGGCAGGGUUGUCCAUGGGAUUCUGAAGACCUCCUAUCUGUGGGUAAGUUAAAGUGUCUUAUUGCUUCAACACAAGAGGCUUACUUAUGUUAUAUGGAAAGGGUAGAAGAAAACGAGAAAGUUCCCAUUUUGAAUUCUAAUAGCCAAGAGGUAACUGAAAUUGUACAACAGUACACUGAUAUUUUUGAAACACCAACAAGGUUACCACCACAAAGGGACAGAGACCACUUUAUACAUCUUGAGAAUAAUUCCAACCCUAUCAAUGUGAGGCCUUAUAGGUACCCACAAUUUAAGAAAUCAGAGAUUGAAAGGUUAUAAGUUGCUGAAAUGAUGACUCAAAAAAUUAUCAAGCCCAGUACUAGUCCCUACUACUCCCCAGUACUGCUAGUAAAAAAGAAAGAUGGGGUUUACAGAUUAUGUGUGGAUUAAGAGCAUUAAAUGCCCUAACUAUCAAAGAUAAGUUCACUAUCCCUACUGUGGAUGAACUCCUUAGAGAACUUAAAGGAUCUAUUUUUUUUCAAAAUUAGAUCUAAGAUCAAACUUCCACCAGAUUAGAGUCCAUGCUCCUCAUACUGAAAGGACAGCAUUCAAAACUCAUCAGGGGCACUUCGAAUUCUUAGUGAUGCCAUUUGGGCUCACAAAUGCACCAGCAACAUUUCAAUCGGUUAUGAAUUCAGUUUUUGCUAAAUAUUUGAGAAAAUUUUGUACAAUCAAAAUUGUCGAUAUAAGAUUAUAUUUUAAUUCAUGUCAAUUUAAACCCUAAUUACACUAUUAAUCUAUAGGGGUUAAAUAAGUCAAUCGAUAUUAAACCUAACUCCAAUUAAUUAAUUAAUCAUUUGAGUUAAAUGUUUAAUUCAAAGUUAAAAGUCAAAUUGGAAUAAUUGCAUCUUUACCUUGAAUAUUAUUAUUAUUAUCUUUUGACUCUUUAUUCAAGGUAUAAUAUUUCAAGGGGACAAAACACUAUUCACGUUUGAAUUUUUUCAAAGAUAAGAUUCUCCAACAAACACUAUUCAAGAUAAGAUCAAAGGCAAAGCUUGGAUUUAUGUGAGAAAUCAAAGAGCCAUCCAUUGAAGAUCCAAGGGUGGACAUUGAGUGGCCAAGGCUAUAAAUAAAAAGGUAUUCCCCUCAUUUUCACUCACCACACUACAAGCAAUCAAAGAGUUUUCACUCCACAUUUGAGAUCACACGUUUUUGCCUCCAAGCUUCCAAGCAUCCAAAGUGCUCAAGUGUCCUAGCUUUCUAAAGUUUCAAAAGCUCUCCAACUUCUUCUUCUAAUCUUCUUGUUCAUCUCUACAAGUAAGAAGUGUUGUUUGCUUAAAUAUUCCACUCCUCUAAUCACCUCUUGUAUGUGUCCACUUUGUUCGAGAGGUUUCCGGGAUAACCUCUAAUAAUCAAAAAGCUCUAAGUUUGGUUUUAUAGAGUUUCCGGGAUAACUUUUAGGUCAAUCUACCUUGAAAGAUUUCUAGGUUCUUAAGAGUUUCCUUAAUUGAUGGCCAAACAGAAAUUGAUGGCCAAACAGAGGUAAUGAACAGAACGCUGGAGAUGUAUUUAAGGUCUUGUUGUCAUGAAGACCCAAAACAAUGGUUGGGGUUACUACCUUGGGCAGAAUUGUGGUAUAAUUUAAGGUAUCACUCAUCACUUGGAAUGACUCCAUUUAAGGCAGUUUAUGGGAAAGAAGCUGAUGAACUACCACAUUACAAUGCAAGGGAAUCUCAAAUUGAAUCAGUAGACACCCUAUUGCAAAUCAGGGAGGAGGUUCUGGAAAUUAUGAAAAAAAAUCUAGCAAAAGCACAAGCAAGGAUGAAAUCACAAGCUGAUAGAAAAAAGGUAUGAUAUCACAUUUAAAUUGGGAGAUUGAGUGUUGGUGAAACUUCAACCAUAUAGACAAAUAUCAGUAGCUAACAGGAUUCACAACAAAUUAUGUCAAAAAUAUUUUGGACCUUAUAAAGUGGAAAAAAUAAUAACAAAGCUGCAUACAGACUCAAGCUACCUGAGGGAAGCAAAAUUCAUAAUACUUUUCAUGUCUCAAGAUUGAAGGCAUUCAUAGGUCCAAUUCCAGAAAAUUCGAGCAAAGGGGAUCCUGUAAUUUCUGUCCAAAACCAACCAAUUACAUACCCAUUAGCAAUACUGGAAAGGAAAAAGUAAAUCAGAUACUAAUUCAAUGGAAUGGAGCAUUACCUGAGGAUUCUUCUUGGGAGUCUAUGGCGGACAUGGCAGCGGCAUUUCCUUCUUUAAACCUUGAGGACAAGGUCGUCUCUAGAGGGGGAAGUGAUGAUAUAAUUCCAAUCAACUAUGAGGAAGUAUCAGAGUAUAUCCAGUUGGAGGGGGGCAGUGAAAUCGCGGAAUCCCUAACUGGGGAAAGAUUGGGGAUGAACGACGACGGUCCAGAACAGCUUAACUCUGGUGAACCUGGUCAGCCUUCCACAAGCAGCAGUAGACCUGCUAGGGAGAGAAAGAAGCCGGCCCACUUGUUUAAUGGGCUAAGGGAGGAAUUGGCCCACUUGAAGAAUUUAAGUUUUUUUAAAAAAAAUUGCUAAAAAGACCUUAAGUUUAAAUUUAAUGUUGUAAUAGUCAGUAGUAUAAGGAUGUUUUAAUGAUUGGGAAAUCAGUAUCGAAAAUUGAACCAAAUAUUCCUGUUCUUGCGCAAACUCCCUCUCAAACCCUACAUCCGGGAAAUGAGUACCUCUCGACCCCGCCCAUCAAAAUCCGUCUGGUCUGCCUUAACUUCCAGCCGCAUUGUGCCCUCUGCUGAUUGGUUUAACAACCGUGAUCACUCAGAGCUAAGAUUCAAUAUCAGGGAUAUAUUCCUGCCGUGAACUGCCUUGGACACCUAAGAUCUCUGAUCUUAGAUCUAGGGCACCAUCGACCUCAG
rnacentral:lncRNA from 1 species